UGAGCUCCCAGAGGUUUUGUUAUAUUGUCUAUUCUGAUGAUUAGCAUAGCUGGGUGGCUCAGGGGAGAGAGUGUUGGCCUGGAAUCAGGAAUACUCAUCAUCUCGAGUUCAAAUUUGGCCUCACAUA
ensembl:snoRNA